rfam:Phycisphaerae bacterium SM1_79 WOR1_30_36_1360, whole genome shotgun sequence.
GGCGGCGUAGCCAAGAGGCCUAAGGCGACGGUUUGCAAAACCGUUAUUCGCCGGUUCGAAUCCGGCCGCCGCCU